UGGGGAAUAUUGGGCAAUGGGGGAAACCCUGACCCAGCAACGCCGCGUGAAGGAAGAAGGCUUUCGGGUUGUAAACUUCUUUGACAGGGGAAGAAUUUUUGACGGUACCCUGAAAACAAGCCACGGCUAACUACGUGCCAGCAGCCGCGGUAAUACGUAGGUGGCAAGCGUUGUCCGGAUUUACUGGGUGUAAAGGGCGUGUAGGCGGGUCUGCAAGUCAGAUGUGAAAUACCACGGCUCAACCGUGGGACUGCAUUUGAAACUGCAGGUCUUGAGUGAUGGAGAGGCAGGCGGAAUUCCUAGUGUAGCGGUGAAAUGCGUAGAUAUUAGGAGGAACACCAGUGGCGAAGGCGGCCUGCUGGACAUUAACUGACGCUGAUGCGCGAAAGCGUGGGGAGCAAACA
rnacentral:rRNA from 1 species